CUGUGUGCGGCUGAUGACAGUGCUGCUACUGAGACUCCAUGAUUGCUCAGUCUCAAAGUAAACGCCCUGACGCACCAUGA
rnacentral:snoRNA from 12 species